rnacentral:lncRNA from 1 species
UGAUUAUUAAUUGAGAAUUAAAUUGAUUAUUAAUUGAGAAUUAAAUUGAUUAUUAACUGAUUAUUCAAUUGAUUAUUAAUAUCAAAUGUAAUCGACCUGCUACUAAUAAUUCAUUAUUCUGAGAUUACUAAGGUUUUCUUAGUUGAUUACGGCAUACUUCUCGUAUAGUUUUAAGAAGAUUUGUCUUUACCUUGCAGUCCGUCUACAGGGAGCUAUAUCUUGUUGGAUAUAAAGCUGGAUAAUAAGGUGAUGACUAGGUUUUAAUAACAAUUCCCCAUAGAAGUUUUCCAGGUAGAAUUAAUUAUCAUUUCUCAACAAGACACUGUAGUAGUAGAUUGGAAUAUUCAAUUUAUACCAAGGAAAGAUACACAAUCUUAGCCUUUAGAGGAUAGUAAUGUUGGAUUUAUGCAUAGGUUUUAUCUAUUAAGUGUAUUUUAUUAGUAUAUGAUGAAUGUAUAUUAUGUAAUGAUAUCAUUGCAGACUUCCAACACGGCUUUCUGAAAAGAUCAUGCGAAUUAAAGUGUAUACUCCAGUUGCAGAUAUAAGCAGAUAUUCAGAUAACAGGCAACCGAAGGAAUUUGUCAUACUUGACUUUAGCAAAGCUUUUAGGCACCGGACCCCACAACAUGCUCAUAAACCAGACUACUAUGGAGUCUAAAGUCUAGGUUGACCACUAGGCAGCAUAUCGGACUAGUAGACGGGGGCGAAUUAGCAUCUGUACAAGUAAACUCUUGUUGACCACAGGGCACAGUGCUUGGGCCGUUUAUGUUCCUCCUUGUUUAUCAUAUGACAUAUAACGGUAUUCACAUAAAAUCCUCAAUAAGAAUAUUUGAAGAUGAUAACCUAAUAUACGUAGCUGUACAACCAAUGAACCAAAUGUUAAUAUAUAUUUAUUCUAACCAAAUGCUUUGUACUACGUAAAACAACUUGACGGCAACCAAUAAUCUACCUAUAUGAAAUGGAGUGACAAAUCAUUGGAACAGUCAACCAUUAUUCACAACUAGGGGUGGAGCUAUAAUACAUUGUAUUAUGGAAUGACCACAUCGGAAAUAUCACUACAAAGACGCUUUAUACACGGAAUAUUGCUAAAUGUCCAAUGAAUAUAAAGUGUCAGGCAUAUAUAACCCUUGUAAGUGUCUGGGGCCUAUAUCUUCAAAGUCACCAAAAACUUAAAAUGAUCCAAUGGAGAGCAACAAGAUUCUUCAGACAUGACUAUUUUCGAGACACAGGCAAAUUAACAUCUUUAUAAGAGGACUGACUACCACAAUUACAGGAGGGACGAACAACAUGGCGUCUACUCCUUUUCAAAGUAAUCUAUCAACUUAUUUCAAUCCCAAUUCCAAAAUACUUGAUGACACCAACAAGAAUGACACGUCAGUUCCAUAAAAGACGAUUUGUCAGAUUAGCACUAAGUUCUGAACAAGGGAAACAUAGCUUCUUCGUAAGAACAACCACAAACAGGAAUAAAUUACAUGUACCGCCUAGUCUACUGAAUAUUGAUGACUAUGAGGCAUUUAAGACUCACCCAAUAGCACACAGAUAUCCGUAAAUCGACACACAUUUGCACUGGCACAUGUAUCAAAAUAUAUACUAAACACCUGUACAAGUGAUGUUAAAAGAGCAUAUUUUGGAUGACACCGUAACUUUACUUUGUUUAAAUAUAUUCGUGUAAUGAGUCAACCGAAUCUUUACGGAUUACCCAUUCAGAUUUAGAUGAAAAAUUUAUUAACUACUUGCAGUUAUUAUCGCAUGACUUUCUGAAACAUUAUCGCAUGUCAUUUUGACAUCACGUUGCAGUUUACGGUAAAUACAUAUCAAUGAUAUGUUUUCAUUGAAAACCUUAGAAGGCAGUAUAAAAAACAAAUAUUAGGAAAGAGGAAAAAAUAUCCUUAAAAAUGCAAAACAUAAAAAAAAAAAGAUUUUUUUCAAACUUUUAAUUUUUGCAUAUCAGGCCGUUUAUCAGCUAUCCAUCACGAUAUCAUCCCCAAAGCCGAAAGCUUUGGGCUUGAUAUAAGUACCUUUUGCCGAUAAAGGGUCUGAUAGGAAAAUAUGAAAUUACUUAUCUGGUGGGAUGGAGAGAUAUAAAUAGUCAAUGCGUCAAAAACAAAGACUGUAUUAUAUGCCUGCUUGCCUUGAAUAAACUAUGUCUUAACAUCCUUUGAAAAAAA